rnacentral:lncRNA from 1 species
UUUGCUAACUAAUCCUCAAGUUAAACCUUAGACCCUUGUUUGGUUAGGAAUUAAGGGAUGGAAUAACUCCUUAACCCCAUAUUUAUUUCCAAACACCAACCAAAUGGGGUGGGGACCCCACCCCAAAUGGGCUAUUUCGGAAUAGCCCAUUUGACCCAUCCCACCCCACUACUCCAACCAAACAAAACACUAUUUUAUCCACUAUCCUUCUUAUCCCACCUACUCCAAUCAAAUAUUAUUUUUUACUAUCCAGAACUAACUCCAACUCCCAACCAAAAACAAAAAUACUCUAAUCUUAUCUUAAUUCUGAACUUAAGUCUAUUUCUGAAAUAAUUAAUUUUUUUUUAACCCCGAACCAAACGGUAUAUUCUGUCAUUUUGGAGAGAAU